GUAGGUGGCAAGCGUUGUCCGGAAUUAUUGGGCGUAAAGCGCGCGCAGGCGGUUCUUUAAGUCUGAUGUGAAAGCCCACGGCUCAACCGUGGAGGGUCAUUGGAAACUGGAGAACUUGAGUACAGAAGAGGAAAGCGGAAUUCCACGUGUAGCGGUGAAAUGCGUAGAGAUGUGGAGGAACACCAGUGGCGAAGGCGGCUUUCUGGUCUGUAACUGACGCUGAGGCGCGAAAGCGUGGGGAGCAAACAGGAUUAGAUACCCUGGUAGUCCACGCCGUAAACGAUGAGUGCUAAGUGUUAGGGGGGUUUCCGCCCCCCUUAGUGCUGCAGCUAACGCAUUAAGCACUCCGCCUGGGAGUACGGCCGCAAGGCU
rnacentral:rRNA from 1 species